AUUGAACGCUGGCGGCAUGCCUUACACAUGCAAGUCGAACGGUAACAGGUCUUCGGAUGCUGACGAGUGGCGAACGGGUGAGUAAUACAUCGGAACGUGCCCGAGAGUGGGGGAUAACGAGGCGAAAGCUUUGCUAAUACCGCAUACGAUCUCAGGAUGAAAGCAGGGGACCGCAAGGCCUUGCGCUCACGGAGCGGCCGAUGGCAGAUUAGGUAGUUGGUGGGAUAAAAGCUUACCAAGCCGACGAUCUGUAGCUGGUCUGAGAGGACGACCAGCUACACUGGGACUGAGACACGGCCCAGACUCCUACGGGAGGCAGCAGUGGGGAAUUUUGGACAAUGGGCGCAAGCCUGAUCCAGCCAUGCCGCGUGCAGGAUGAAGGCCUUCGGGUUGUAAACUGCUUUUGUACGGAACGAAAAGACUCUGGUUAAUACCUGGGGUCCAUGACGGUACCGUAAGAAUAAGCACCGGCUAACUACGUGCCAGCAGCCGCAGUAAUAC
rnacentral:rRNA from 1 species